rnacentral:rRNA from 1 species
UGCGGAGGGAGCUAGCGUUGUUCGGAAUUACUGGGCGUAAAGCGCACGUAGGCGGCUUUGUAAGUUAGAGGUGAAAGCCUGGAGCUCAACUCCAGAACUGCCUUUAAGACUGCAUCGCUUGAAUCCAGGAGAGGUGAGUGGAAUUCCGAGUGUAGAGGUGAAAUUCGUAGAUAUUCGGAAGAACACCAGUGGCGAAGGCGGCUCACUGGACUGGUAUUGACGCUGAGGUGCGAAAGCGUGGGGAGCAAACAGGAUUAGAUA